CAACAUCACUCUUUCACUGGACACAACAACCUGUGCUGAUACAGUUUGAAACAAAACAAGAAAUCAUUUCAUUGUGAUAGUACUGGUCCAGGUUUAGAUGAUACAGAAAAGUAGACCACUGUUCGGUCUUUUGCUUUUGAGAUAGUUUGAUUAGACGAGGUCAAGAUGAGUAGGAGCAAUGAGCUUCUCCACAUUGACGUGAACAUCGAUGAGAACGAACCUCACAGAGGCGUCCUGGACCUCCUCAGAACUCUCAGACCUCAGUGGAGGCCUCAAGACAUCCACAUGAAGACCUUCACAGAGGGCCUCACCAAUCAUCUCCUGGGCUGUUGUGUGGACCAGUCGGACACUGUUCUGGUGCGUCUGUACGGCAAACAGACGGAGCUCUUUGUCGACCGCCAGAGAGAGGUGGAAAUGUUCCAGGUGUUCCACGCCCAUGGAUGCGGUCCUGAAAUCUACUGCAGCUUCCAGAAUGGAAUCUGCUACCAGUUUGUUGAAGGAACCGUGCUGGAGGACACGCUGCUCUAUCAACCCUCCAUUUACAGAUUGAUUGCGGCAGAGAUGGGGAGAAUCCACUCCAUCCAGACUAAAUGCGCUCACCCCCCAGAGCCUUUCCUGUGGACCAAAGUGUCCCACUUUCUCACGCUACUGAAGAAGAGCGCCCACCACAGCCCGGUGCAGACGCUGUGCACAAAGAGUUCCGCGGCCAGCCAGCAGUUGCCCAGCUUGGUGACGUUGUCAAGGGAGGCGGAGUCACUGGAGAGACACCUCUCGCUGGUCGACUCGCCGACCGUGAUGUGUCACAACGACCUCCUGACCAAAAACAUCAUCCACGACCACAAGCAGGGCAGGGUGAAAUUCAUCGACUACGAGUAUGCCGAUUACAACUAUCAAGCUUUCGAUAUUGGCAAUCACUUCAAUGAAUUUGCUGGCAUGGAAGGCGUGGAGGAUGUCGACUACAGCCGCUACCCGAGCUGCCAGCUGCAGAGCGCCUGGCUGAAGGCCUACCUGGAGAGCUACAAGCACUGCAGAGGGCAAGAUAUCAGCGUCACCAAAGCCGAAGUGACGCGACUCUACCUUCAAGUCUGCAAGUUCUCUCUGCAGGCGUCAAACUUCUUCUGGGGUCUGUGGGCCGUCCUCCAGUCUCAAUGCUCAUCUCUUGAUUUUGACUUCCACAGCAACAUCGUCAAGCGCUAUGGCGACCUGAGAGGAAAUGUGAUCCAGAGGGCCGCCAAGGCACAGAGGAGCUAUUGUUUCUUCAGGCCGUCACUCCUGCUUUUACGUGCACGUCCCUCAUCCCCACCGUGCUCGGCCACAUGCUCCAUGUCUGCUCCUCCUCCUCCUCACCGCCGCCAGCACGGGUCACCCCAAAGUGCACGGGCCGGGUCAGGUUACCUGGCUUUAAGUAGUCACUGUUGCCAAGCAAGACUGAAAUUGACAGGAUGGCUAGCCUGCUAACCUCUGUACACCCCCCCCCCCCCAACACACACAAACGAAAACUUCCACUCAGAAAAUCAUACUCAUUAGAAUACAACAUUCACAUAUUUAACUUUAAAAAUAACUGCAAUACCAAGGAACCACUUUUUUCCGACAUUUUAAAAAUGAUUAUUGCGUAACACAGGUAUGUGACUGUCAUGUAUUCUAAUGUAUUUUACAGACAUAACACUUUUUUUACACCGUUAGCUCACAGAAAUUCAAUAUUUUUUCAAACAAGUGGCAUCCUUUUAGACUUAAAAAAAUAAACAAAUUCCAUCUCAGAAUACGAGAACGAAGAAUGAGGGUCACAUAUUUAACAUUAAAGGACAUCACACUGAUUACUAGUUACUAGGAAUGGCCCAAUACCAAUAUCCCAAUAUCCCAAUACAAUACCAAUAUCCCAAAAUCCCAGUAUUCUAAUAUCCCAAUACCAAUAUCCCAGUAUCCCAAUAUCCCAGCAUCCCAAUAUCCCAAUAUCCCAAUAUCCCAAUACCCCAUUUUCCCAAUAUCCCAAUACCAAUUUCCCAAUAUCCUAAUAUCUGUACAUUUGGCCAGGAUUGUACUGAUACUUGGAACAGUCCACACCUACUAAUAAGAGUUUUUUUGUGGUGGAAAAUGCUUGGACACUCCUGUCCUAGCGUGCAGUUAAGCAAACACGUUUCAAAAAUGUAUAUGAAAAUGUUGAAUGUGCGUUUAGCAUUUUUGGCACAUAUAGGCACACAAAGAAGUGAUUUAAUAUGAUAAGUGGAGGUCUAAAGUCAGUGUGGAAAUGUGUCAGUGUGUGUGUGUUUCCUCCCACUGAUAUCCCCCUGAGCCAAAUCUCCUCGCUGACUUCCCAAAGAGUGACAAGCGUCUGCACGGCCUUGUGCUCUAAUCCCAGCCAGAUGUGUAUGUGACAAUAGCCAACCACAAGAGUCCAUAUUUACUUUGCUUGAGUCAGGCGGAGUAGUCUGCUGUUUGACAAAGACAUUAUUAUGAGGAAAUGAACAAGGAGGAGGUCCACUGUUUGGAAUGAAACACACUCCAUGUGUGCACAAAAGAACAUUGUGAAAGGAAAUACCUGCACUUAAUUUUUUACAAUCUUUCUGCUAAACUACAAAAACGUUGCACUUUCAUCAGAAAUGUCUCAAUUUCAUCCGCCGUCAUGAUAAAGAUUAUAAUAAAAGUGCAUGUGAGUAGUAGGAGACACUGUGAGACUCUUUUAAACUGUAUUUUUGGCCUUUCACAUAGAAAAGUCAGUUUUUCCUCUAUAAUAACUUCAUGGUAUUGUUAUUUCUUCAUCAUCCUGGAUCCAUCCCUUAUACUGAUGCAUUUUUUAGCAUACAGUACAUACAACAGCAAAGAAUUAUACCAUGGAAUGCUUAUAUUGCCUCCUAACACACCACACAAAUACUCACAUUAUUGUAAUAUUAUAUCAAUAAAUGUAAUAUAUACAGUACAUAUUUUCAUUUCACAUGCAACAACAAAUUGAUAAUUACGAUGUUAAAAUUCCAUCAAUUUGAAUUUAAACGUCUUCAUCAUUUGGACACCCCUGAUGAAGAAGUACCAAAGUACUCAUUUUGAUGACUUUGGACUUGACAUGACAAUAUCAUCAAAGACUUGGAACUCGGCUUGGACUUUGACAUCAGUGACACGGGACUUGACUUGGACUUUAGUCUGAUGACUUAAAAUGACUUACUUGACACUGACCUGCUCUGACCUCUGGGCGUAACUAAAUAACUACUGUAUGAUUAUGUAGCAAUAACUAAGUACUGUUAAAUGAUGUUAAAGUAAAUACAUGACUUUGGUGUGACAAGUACCAAUGUACCAAAUUUUGAUGACUUUGGACUUGACUUGACAAUAUCAUCAGAGACUUGGAACUCGACAUCAGUGACACAGGACUUGACUUGGAUCGUCUGAUGACUUAAAAUGACUUACUUGACACUGACUUGCGCCCACCUCAGGAUGUAACGACAUAACUACUGUAUGAUUAUGUAAACGUAAAUAAAUAACUUUUGUGUGACAGUUGUCAUGGUGCGGCUUGUGAGUUUCUCGGUUCGACCCCAGGAUGCAGCGAUUAGGACCCAAAUGCAAGUAAAAAUAUAUAUAUAUUUUUUGCUAUGCAGCAGAACGGCGCACUACCAAGUACAACUCAACACACCAUGAACCGACAACGAAGGGAGCGCGCACCUGAACUAAAUAGGCAACACAAAAUAGGAAACAGGUGCGGGAGAUAAUUGAAAGGAACGGAAAACCGAACAUAGCAACAGAGGAAGUGAAUACAAAAUAAGGGCAUGAACGAGGAACUAAGGAAAGCUAGAGGUAAAAACAAGAACUGUCACACGGGCAAAGAUGCAGAUUGUGACAACAGUCGUGCAUUUGGUGGCUGGUCCUUCAGUGGGGACUUAACUAGAAGAAUUAUUUCAGCAGUUAUUUAUAUUAAACAUAAUAUAUGAUAUUUUUUUAAAAGUAAUAAAAGUGCCACACCUGGGUCUGAAACCACGGUUGCCCCCCCCAGCACUAACAAAAUGAUAUUACACAAUAUCACAUUGCCGCAACACAAAUCCUCGAUUGCUAAUCACAAUUCCCUUAUCUUCAAAUACGAGCAAUUUCUUGAAAUUCACAUACAAGUCAAGUCAAGUUAAUUUAUAUAGCCCUUGAUCACAAAAGAGUCUCUGAGGGCUUUACAAGCUGGCAACCAUCAACGACAUCACCUGAUCUGAACACCCAACCGUGCAAAGAAAAACUCAAAACCCCAUUUGGGGAAAAAGGAAACCUUGAGAAGGGACCACAGAGAGGGUUGGGGGGGGGACCCCCUUCCAGGAUGAACAGGCUGCAAUGGAUAUGGAGUGGGCAACGUAUGUCACAUUCUAAAUAUAUACAAAUAAAUCCAAAUAACAUAAUAGUCCAGUUCAUAGAUGACAUCAGGAGAGCUAGUUAGCUGCGGGUCUUGGGGUGAUCACCCUCUGGGACAGCGCCUCUAAGAGGUGGACCACCUCAGAUCUUGUCCGAUUCUGUCAGGACGAGUUCCAAACAGCCGCAAACUCUACUUCUGUCAUCAUUAGCUGGCCCCACGCUCCAGAAGGGAGGAUGCUCUACUGUGCUACAUUGUGUUAUGUACACCACUGUGUAUAAUGUCGGACCCAAGGCGUGCUUGCUCUGGUGCGCAUGCGUUAAAAAAUAAACAAAAUCCGUAAUUAAUGAAAUGAAUUAGUUACCUCCAUGAACGCAGUAAAAUACAUCCACUCACCAGAGAUGUCAGUUUCUCCCCUUCCUUGUGGGCUGAACUUGGCCUGUUGAACAGUUGUGUUCUGUCCAAAUUAAAUCAACUUUAUUUGUAGAGCAGUUUUCCUGCAAAGACAUGCAACACAAAGUGCUUUACAGAAUAAAAAAAAAAUUACCACAAUUAAAAGGAAAAACAAUUACUAAGAAAGCCCCUCCCUCUAACCCUCCAUACUAGACACACACACACACACACACACACACACACAAUCACACACAGUAGGGAGACAUGGCAUGGCACUGACCAACCAAUGAAAGGACAGAAAAGUGCUAAUUCUGAAGUCUGAGUGGCUAAAAAACAACAACAACAACAACAAAACCAGCCCCAUUGCUAAUAGUGUUUAUAUAACAUGGGCCAGCACUCCUGAUUCUGAAGGCCCUGGUCAGGCAUGGCAACACAGGCUCAAAUCUGAAAAAUCACUACUGGAAGCAGUGUAUCAAAAUUAAUUGACUAUUGGAAUAAAAUAAUAGUACAGAAGUAACGACUGUAUGAUGACAUAGAAGUAACUAAGUGAGUAUAAGUAAUGAAGAAACUACUGCAUGACAGGUAUAACGUAUGUACGAUGACAAUGAUGUUUAUGUGAGUUACCACCAAAAGAAGCAAAUAGAGGCAUUUCCCCGAGGUAGUAAGUAACUAAGUAAGUACUGCACGGUGAUGUAGGAGUAACUAAGUACAGUGAACAUGAUGUGAUUGAGCACAAAAGGAAGCAAAUAAAAAAAAAAGAAGUGAGGUGCUGAUUAAAAGACAAACUUGACUGCGCCUCAAUUUCCUGAGCUUUAGAAACGUGUGUGAUUUCCAAAGGCUAUAUUAUAAUGGCCAAGGGCAACGGCACACUCGCGCACUGCGAUUUAAUGAAGCAUCUGAUAAUAUGGUUCCAACGGCACACAAAAGCACUUUGCACGCAGUUAAGUUCCGAAAUGCGUGUACGUGUUGGUGCGGCUUUCAUGCCGUCAAUGGAGACGGAACGCCAUAUUGUUAGGCCCACAAAAGCAGCAGUCCUUGCAUGAGUCCUAGCGUGACCUGCACACAUUUUGCUGCAAAGGGGAAAAAACAUCAAAUUGUAAAGUUUUUUUUUUUUUUUUUUUUUAGAUUAUCUGCUGACUACACACACUUUUUGGGACUGGACCCCAAACAUGUGUCACGAUGUAGUUCUACAUGAGGUAGUGUUACCUUGGCUAAGAUACGCCACGGCACGACUCAACCGCUACUUUGAAAAGAAAGAAGAAUAUUUUUCACUUUCUCUCAGCU